rnacentral:rRNA from 1 species
CCUACGGGAGGCAGCAGUGGGGAAUAUUGCGCAAUGGACGAAAGUCUGACGCAGCGACGCCGCGUGUGGGAUGAAGCUCUUCGGGGUGUAAACCACUGUUGCCCGGGAAGAAACUCCUGAUUCGUCAGGACUGACGGUACCGGGUGAGGAAGCACCGGCUAACUCUGUGCCAGCAGCCGCGGUAAUACAGAGGGUGCGAGCGUUGUCCGGAAUCACUGGGCGUAAAGGGCGCGUAGGUGGCGGGAUAAGUGUGUGGUGAAAGCUCGGGGCUCAACCCCGAGUCUGCCAUGCAGACUGUCUUGCUCGAGCGUAGUAGAGGCAGGUGGAAUUCCGGGUGUAGCGGUGGAAUGCGUAGAGAUCCGGAAGAACACCGGUGGCGAAGGCGGCCUGCUGGGCUACUGCUGACACUGAGGCGCGACAGCGUGGGGAGCAAACAGGAUUAGAUACCCUGGUAGUCCACGCCGUAAACGAUGGGUACUAGGUGUCUGGGGGAACGCCCCCUGGGUGCCGACGCUAACGCANGAGACCGCCGNGGGAGGUACGGCCGCGAGCGNGAACGUACGAAGAAGUAGACGGCGUGAGACGUGCCGACGGACGACGACGAGGGAGGAGG